CCUACGUGUGGCAGCAGUGGGGAAUAUUGCACAAUGGGGGAAACCCUGAUGCAGCGACGCCGCGUGAGUGAAGAAGUAAUUCGUUACGUAAAGCUCUAUCAGCCGGGAAGAAACACUGACCUUACGGUCAGCAGACGGUACCUGAGUAAGAAGCCCCGGCUAACUACGUGCCAGCAGCCGCGGUAAUACGGAGGGGGCAAGCGUUAUCCGGAUUUUCUGGGUGUAAAGGGGGCGUAGACGGUGCGCCAAGUCUGGAGUGAAAUGCCGCGGCUUAACUGCGGAACUGCUUUGGAAACUGGCGAACUAGAGGGCGGGAGGGGUAAGCGGAAGUCCUAGUGUAGCGGUGAAAUGCGUAGAUAUUAGGAGGAACACCGGUGGCGAAGGCGGCUUACUGGACCGUAACUGACGUUGAGGCUCGAAAGCGUGGGGGGCAAACAGGAUUAGAUACCCUAGUAGUC
rnacentral:rRNA from 1 species